UACGUAGGGUCCGAGCGUUGUCCGGAAUUACUGGGCGUAAAGAGCUCGUAGGUGGUUCUGUCGCGUUGUUCGUGAAAACUCACAGCUCAACUGUGGGCGUGCGGGCGAUACGGGCAGACUAGAGUACUGCAGGGGGAGACUGGGAAUUCCUGGUGUAGCGGUGGAAUGCGCAGAUAUCAGGAGGAACACCGGUGGCGAAGGCGGGGUCUCUGGGCAGUAACUGACGCUGAGGAGCGAAAGCGUGGGGAGCGAACAGG
rnacentral:rRNA from 1 species